rnacentral:rRNA from 1 species
AUGCACGCUGGCGGCGUGCCUAAUACAUGCCAGUCGAGCGAACAGACGAGGAGCUUGCUCCUCUGACGUUAGCGGCGGACGGGUGAGUAACACGUGGAUAACCUACCUAUAAGACUGGGAUAACUUCGGGAAACCGGAGCUAAUACCGGAUAAUAUAUUGAACCGCAUGGUUCAAUAGUGAAAGACGGUUUUGCUGUCACUUAUAGAUGGAUCCGCGCCGCAUUAGCUAGUUGGUAAGGUAACGGCUUACCAAGGCAACGAUGCGUAGCCGACCUGAGAGGGUGAUCGGCCACACUGGAACUGAGACACGGUCCAGACUCCUACGGGAGGCAGCAGUAGGGAAUCUUCCGCAAUGGGCGAAAGCCUGACGGAGCAACGCCGCGUGAGUGAUGAAGGUCUUCGGAUCGUAAAACUCUGUUAUUAGGGAAGAACAAAUGUGUAGGUAACUAUGCACGUCUUGACGGUACCUAAUCAGAAAGCCACGGCUAACUACGUG